rnacentral:rRNA from 1 species
AUACGGAGGGUGCAAGCGUUAUUCGGAAUCACUGGGCGUAAAGGACGCGUAGGCGGGUUGGCAAGUCAGAUGUGAAAUCCUACAGCUUAACUGUAGAACUGCAUUUGAAACUGCUAACCUAGAGUAUGGGAGGGGGAGAUGGAAUUAGUGGUGUAGGGGUAAAAUCCGUAGAUAUCACUAGGAAUCCCGAAAGCGAAGGCGAUCUCCUGGAACAUAACUGACGCUAAGGCGUGAAAGCGUGGGGAGCAAACAGGAUUAGAAACCCUAGUAGUCC